GAAAGAGAGGAGGGGAGAGAGCUCAGUUGUGUGCACCAGACAAGCACAUGAGCCUUUAGUUCAGCUUCUGCAAGGAAGCUGACGCCUAACCCAGCCAGCAAACAGUGGUGAAGGGUGGAGGUCUAGCGGCUGCUCAGCUCUGCGCGUUGGCCCAGAAACACUUGUAGCCUUGGGAAAACCUGGGAGCUAGAUUUCCUGGCCACUUCAGAAGAGAGAAAUUAGUUGCUAGGGGCCUGAAAACAGUCCUAACUUGCUAAAGCUGAACUCCUCUUCCUGUGAGUAUGGAACUUAUGCACUCAUUGUGGUUGCAAAAGUAGUUGAGUGGGGAGUUCUCAUCUCUUGCAGAAAUGAGGGUCUCCUCCGAAGAUCUCUAAGACCAGGGGUGCCCUAUCCCAGGGCUUCCCAAACUCUAAUGGACCCACCACUUAUGGCGAUCUUCAUAGAAUAGCUCGAUCCUGAUUCUUAGACCCAGGGUGGACCUAGGAAUAUGCAUUUCUCAGAAUUUCCCAGGCUGUGCCCAGGCUGCUCAUCUAGUCGGAGUAACACGGCCAUCAGGCAUGUGGGAAAACGGCGUCCACACAAACUUCCCUCUACCCAGGCUUUUCCAACUGGGAAGGAGCUUUGCCAACUGCAAAAUGCUUUCUCAAGGUUUGUUGCCAUUAUGACAAGAAACUCAGAGAACAAGGAGAAGGAUCCAGGGACUGAAGACCUCUGGUGCCAUUUUUUUGAGCCUGGGGAAGGAGACCCCAGGAGACUGCUACUACCAGAGGCUUACUGUUACAUUGUUAUAUCAUUAACCAAUGUUCCCAAUCACAACCCCAGAUGAGAUUACCACUAUGCCCAUUUUACAGAUUAGGAAAUCAAGGCUUAAAGUGAGCUGGUUUCUGAACUGGGAGAGUGUGGAGCCAGAGAUCUCAAUCCUUCUUGGAUUUCAGGCCGAGGAGGGAGAAAACGGCUUCUGACCUUGCAGGUUUCAAUAGAAGAGCAAACACGAAGGGAAGAUAAGGAGACGCCAGUGAGAUUCUAUGACCUGUCAUUAGGGAUGGGCUUCCCAGCUAUCAAAUGUUUGCUCACAUAAUAAAAUGGUGGCAGAGACUUAAA